rnacentral:rRNA from 1 species
UACGUAGGGGUCUAGCGUUGUCCGGAAUUAUUGGGCGUAAAGAGCUCGUAGGCGGUUCGGCAAGUCGGAUGUGAAAUCUCCACGCUUAACGUGGAGGGGCCAUUCGAAACUGCCGUGACUCGAGUCCGGUAGGGGAGUGCGGAAUUCCCGGUGUAGCGGUGAAAUGCGUAGAUAUCAUGAGGAAUACCAGAGGCGAAGGCGGCUACCUGGACAAUUGCUGACGCUCAGGCACGAAAGCGUGGGGAGCGAACGGG